rnacentral:rRNA from 1 species
GAUUAACGCUGGCGGCAUGCCUAAUACAUGCAAGUCGAACGGAAGCAGCAAUGCUUUAGUGGCGAACGGGUGAGUAACACGUAGGGAACCUACCUAUACGACGAGGAUAACUACUGGAAACGGUAGCUAAAACUGGAUAGGAUCAAUUGAGGCAUCUUGAUUGAUUUAAAGAUCCUUCGGGAUUACGUAGAGAUGGCCCUGCGGCGCAUUAGCUAGUUGGUGAGGUAACGGCCCACCAAGGCGACGAUGCGUAGCUGAGCUGAGAGGCUAAACAGCCACACUGGGACUGAGACACGGCCCAGACUCCUACGGGAGGCAGCAGUAGGGAAUUUUCGGCAAUGGGGGAAACCCUGACCGAGCAAUGCCGCGUGAACGAUGAAGGUCUUCGGAUUGUAAAGUUCUGUGAUUGGGGAAGAAUGGUAUUCUUAGGGAAUGAGGAGUACAUGACGGUACCCGAUUAGAAAGCCCCGGCUAACUAUGUGCCAGCAGCCCG